rnacentral:lncRNA from 1 species
GAGAGACAGAGAGACAGAGAGAGAGAGUAGAAGAGGAAGGCCAGAGGAAUCAGGGCAGCUUUGAAAGUGCCUUACUGCAUUUUUUAAUUACUUAAAAAGUAAAACAAGGUACACAUAAUAAAAAUCGUUUCAGGAGCAAAUCUUUCUGUGGCUGUGUAUAUAAAGUGCUUUUUAAUUUUGUGUUUUGGAUUUCAAAAUUUUAAAAAGUCAAAUAUUGAUACUUUGCUUUUUGUCAGUUUGCCAAUUUUCAAGUCAUGACAAGAAAUGAAAAAAAAUAAUAAUUAAUAUGACCUUUCUCUUAUUAUUGGCUCUUUGGAACACACUUUCCUGUGGUCAUUUAUAGCUGCCAAUACUUCUCGGUGCCUUGUCACUGCCGUGUGUGCCUGGCUCCGCUCUCUGCGCUCUGCAUCACUUCCCCGACUCUUCCAGGCUUCUCGCGAUCCUCCCCCACAGCCGCGGCUCUGCCGGCAGAGUCACGUGCCGUCGCUAGUCCCGCCACGGCCCGGCCCUCUUGGGGCGUGGGCCCAGCGGCGGUACGGCCGGGUCCAAGGGCGCCUGCAGCCCAGGAUCCCUUCUGGGCCCGGACCCACAUUGUUUCGGGCAGGACGUGGGGUUCAGAGCCUGGGUGGGGCGGGGGUCCCUGGCUUUGACCCUGGAUCAGCACCCAUCGACGCCUGUGGCCCCUGAGUCAUCCGGGAAAUGGACAGUUUCGGAAAGAGGAGGACGCCCCCCAUUCUCCUGUCCCCUUCGAGGGGGUCAAUCAGACCCGUGAAGGCCCGUGGAGGGAGGGGGCGGCCCGAGCUGGGGUGCAGGAGCCCACGAGGGAAGAGGAGGCGUCACUGGGGAUGAACUGAGGUCUGGGGGGAGGGGCGUACGGUGGAGAGAAGACGGUGCUGGGGGCUGAGGACCGGGCCAGAGGAGGGGGCGGGGCAGGGCACGGUCCUCAGGGCCUUCCGGCAGCCCCGCCCCCACCUCCGCUCCCGGGCUUCGCGCCUGAGUGUGUGCCGCCCCGGGACUACAUUUCCCAGAAGCCCUCGCCCUGCGCUCCACUCCGCUUCCUCUCCGUUCUUACCCCAUGACCUCGUGACCUCAGCUGUUCCACCAGUUUGGCUGAAUCGGCUCCGGUCCUCUGGGUCCGCGUGUCUCGAGCUCCCCCGAGGAUCCCGAGACCCGGACGUUCCGAGCCCCCCGCCCGCCACCGUACCUGGGAGUACUGAGUCCCCCAAGACUCCCCCAAACUUAGAGUUUUCUCUUCCAGCCCCUUCAGCACCUGCCAGGAGGCCUUGACGUUCCCCUCUAGGAUACCGUACCAGCUGCCCCUUCCCCGGGGGUCUCCACUGCCUCCACCCCCACCUCUGACCCAGCCAGCAUCCGGGACUUCUGUCUCCCUGCCCCCGACCACCAGACCCCAGCCCUCCCUUACUGACCCCUGAUGAAGGUCUGGGGUUGUCGGGCUGGACUCCGGUCCCCUCCGGAGUUUGGGGCGGGCUGGGGGCGGGCGAAGACAGAGGGGAAGCCCACUGACUACUUCUAAGAUUCAUUCGUUCUCCAGACCCCACCCGCUUUCCCCCAGUGUUGUUACCCUCGGAGAGCCUUCCCAGAGAUGGGGUCUGUUCCCAAGAAAGCCAAGUCCCCAGCCUGCCUGCUCUGAUUCUUGGGGACUGGGACCCCUGGCUGCUGAGCUGCUCCUGCUAUAGUCAGCCAGCGAGUCAGCAAAAGUGCAUGAAGUGCCUACUGUGCGCAGGUGCUAGGCUAGGCCAGGCCAGAGUGAUACCAAAAAGGCUAAAAGAUUGCCUGGCCACAGGAGCUCCCAUUCUAACAUGGGAUACAUCAUGGAAAUGAUAUGUGUCUGUCUGUCUGUGUCUUUGUGGGUGGGUGUGUCUAGAGAGAGGAUGGGAGGUUAUCUCAGGGGGAUGGCAUCAAGAGCUGGGGUGACAGGGAGAGACCUCCAGGAGGGGGGACCUAAGCUGAGUCCUACAGGGAACCCAGGGGUGGGAGGGAGGGGGCCAAGCAUUCUUGCUGCUCUCCCAGGUCACUAACGGCUCUUCCUGCUUUCCCUCUGCAGCCUGUGACUGUCCAUCCUCCUCUUCUCC